rnacentral:rRNA from 1 species
AGUCGACGAUGACCCGGAGCUUGCUCUGGGGGAUUAGUGGCGAACGGGUGAGUAACACGUGAGUAACCUGCCCUUGACUCUGGGAUAACCUCCGGAAACGGAAGCUAAUACCGGAUACGACGUACGGAGGCAUCUCCUGUACGUGGAAAGAACUUCGGUCAAGGAUGGACUCGCGGCCUAUCAGGUAGUUGGUGAGGUAACGGCUCACCAAGCCUACGACGGGUAGCCGGCCUGAGAGGGUGACCGGCCACACUGGGACUGAGACACGGCCCAGACUCCUACGGGAGGCAGCAGUGGGGAAUAUUGCACAAUGGGCGCAAGCCUGAUGCAGCAACGCCGCGUGAGGGAUGACGGCCUUCGGGUUGUAAACCUCUUUUAGUAGGGAAGAAGCGAAAGUGUCGGUACCUGCAGAAAAAGCACCGGCUAACUACGUGCCAGCAGCCGCGGUAAUACGUAGGGUGCGAGCGUUGUCCGGAAUUAUUGGGCGUAAAGAGCUCGUAGGCGGUCUGUCGCGUCUGCUGUGAAAACCCGAGGCUCAACCUCGGGCCUGCAGUGGGUACGGGCAGACUAGAGUGCGGUAGGGGAGAAUGGAAUUCCUGGUGUAGCGGUGGAAUGCGCAGAUAUCAGGAGGAACACCGAUGGCGAAUGCAGUUCUCUGGGCCGUAACUGACGCUGAGGAGCGAAAGCGUGGGGAGCGAACA